GACGAACGCUGGCGGCGUGCUUAACACAUGCAAGUCGAACGGUGAAGCGCCUUCCUUUUUGGUGGGUGUGGAUGAGUGGCGAACGGGUGAGUAACACGUGAGUAACCUGCCCCCUUCUUCUGGAUAACCGCAUGAAAGUGUGGCUAAUACGGGAUAUUCUGGGUCUGUCGCAUGAUGGGUCUGGGAAAGAUAUUGUUUCGGUGGGGGAUGGGCUCGCGGCCUAUCAGCUUGUUGGUGGGGUGAUGGCCUACCAAGGCGGUGACGGGUAGCCGGCCUGAGAGGGUGGACGGUCACACUGGGACUGAGACACGGCCCAGACUCCGACGGGAGGCAGCAGUGGGGAAUAGUGCACGAUGGGCGCAAGGCUGAUGCAGCGACGCCGCGUGAGGGAUGGAGGCCUUCGGGUUGUGAACCUCUUUCGCCAGUGAAGCAGGCCUGCCUCGUUUGUGGGUGGGUUGACGGUAGCUGGAUAAGAAGCGCCGGCUAACUACGUG
rnacentral:rRNA from 1 species